GUUCAGUUUCUUACAAAUCAUUUUCCACUUCCUCCUGUAGAAACAGGGUGCUACAAAAAGCAGUCUUUCCUUUCAAAAGAUGUGAUGUGUGCCAGGG